UAAAUAAUAAUUUGUUCUUAACUGACUUGCCUAGUUAAAUAAAGGUUAAAUCAUAUAUUUUUUAUCAUCCCUUUUACCUAGGUAACAUCAGACAGUGACCAUGUGGCCAACACUACCGUCAAGGUCCACCUACCCAAAAGAGCUCCUGAUAGCCAAAGAGAACGAUACCAUCAUCUUCUGCAUGAUUACCUCACCUGAAAAAUAUGGGCCAUCGGGACUUCUUGAUGGCCAAGUAGAAGGUCUGGCUGUGAGCAUGAAGACAGUGUUAGGUCUGCAGGACAAGAUCAACUUCUUCAUGCCUCUACAGCGCCCCACAUUGGAAAGUCAGAGGUAUAUGCACAGACAUCUCCCUGAAGGUGCAUAUCAACCUGUCUGUGGCCCUGAUCCUCCUCAACCUACACUUCCUGCCCAGCCAGCAGGUAGCAGCAUUAUCCUCCUCUGGGCCAUGUAUCUAUGUUGCUGUCCUUCUUGCAUUACUCUCUACUGGCCACCUUCACAUGGACAGCAAGCGAAGGCUUCCACCUUUACCUGUUGCUGGUCCGUGUCUUCAACAUCAAUGUCAGGAGAUACCUGUUCAAACUGAGCCUGGUAGAAUGGUGUGAGAUUGCACUUUACAACCUGAAACUGGCUGUAUGACUGUAAACAGUAAGCAAUAAUAACGGUAGCGAACGAGAUGGCUGUCGUUUUAUGAUCCCGUAACCAAUUGUGCUAUUGUGAAUGUUUUUUCACAUUAUUUGUAAGUUAUUUUGUACAUAAUGUUUCUGCCACCAUGUCUUAUGACCGAAAAUAACUUCUAGAUAUCAGGAAAACGAUUACUCACCCCGUACUGGAGGAAUAGUUUUUCUUCAACGAGUCAGGCGGGAAGGAUUUACUGCAGACGCCCGACAAGGCCCUUAUCCUCGUAAUUCACAGGAGAAAGAGACGGUGGUAUCGUGGAUGAAGAUCCGGGUGCCUUGUUAGGAUCUGUCGCCGAAAGGGUAAUCUACCUUUUCCUUUCGGUCCUAGUAGCCAAUGUACAAUAAAUCCAUAAUAAAAUAGACGAACUACGAUCACGUACAGUGGGGCAAAAAA